rnacentral:tRNA from 1 species
GCCUGCAUAGCUCAGUGGUUGAGCAUCGACCUAUGAACUAGGAGGUCAGAGUUCGAUUCCCAGUCAAGGCA